rnacentral:piRNA from 1 species
UGCGCACAGUGAGUGGCUCAAGCCUG